rnacentral:rRNA from 1 species
UACAGAGGUCCCAAGCGUUGUUCGGAUUCACUGGGCGUAAAGGGUGCGUAGGUGGUCGGGUAAGUCUGAUGUGAAAUCUCCGAGCUUAACUCGGAAAUGGCAUUGGAUACUAUUCGGCUAGAGGGUUUGAGGGGGGACUGGAAUACUUGGUGUAGCAGUGAAAUGCGUAGAUAUCAAGUGGAACACCAGUGGCGAAGGCGAGUCCCUGGACAACUCCUGACACUGAGGCACGAAAGCUAGGGGAGCAAACAGG